rnacentral:sRNA from 1 species
UUUGAAAAUGUAAAAUACAUGCAACUUAUAGCAAAAUAUUCCGAAACCCUAAUACUCAAAACGACACAGUAUUGAAUGGUCAAGUGAUAAGCUGGAGUCUUCUUUUCUUCCUUGUGCUCGAGUGUCUGGUUGAGUGCGGAAUGGAGAAAACUCUGAAGCUGGCAGUCGAGUAUGAAGUCGAGUGAUGGAGAUGGUGGUACUCGGCUUGGUGGUAGAGUGGUCGAUCGAGUGUGUGAUGAUGGUGAGACUCGGCCGUGCAAUCGAGUGGGUGGUCGAGUGAAGGUGAUGGAGGUACUUGACCAGGGGGUCGAGUAGUGUGAUCAAGUGAUGGUCAGGUGGUGGAGAUGAUGAUACUCGACCACGAGGUCGAGUGGUCGUGUGAAGUGAUGAGGCCUUCUACUCGACCAGGGGGUCGAGUGGUUUGUUGAAGUUGCGAAGCCAUCUACUCAACCAGGGGGUCGAGUGUUGAUAUCGUCAGGUCGACUUCCUCCAAUUAGCUCGCCAACAGCUCCAAAUCACCUGAAAAUAACACAAAUAUGCAACAUGCAUGCAAAACUAUCAUAAACAUGCAAAGUGAUGAAAAUGAUAAGAAAUGGUAUAAAACAGUGGUGAUAUGAUGCUAAAGUGAUAACAAAUGGAUGCUCAAAAGAUGUAAAAUGCACACUUAUCAACUCCCCCAAACUUAGUCUUUGCUUGCCCUCAAGCAAACAAUUAAGAACAAGGUGGAGGUGAGGUUUGAAAGCGGGGACUCAGAGCUAAAGCACCAGAUAAAAUCAAAUGAAAUCAAUGUCCAACUUGGUAGUUCUAAGCUGCGAUAUGAUCGAAUUCUACUCAAAAACAUUAGCCAUGCCUUGUUAUUAAUCAAUCCGACUCUUAUGCUCGACCUACACAUGUUUUCAAAUCUACCAAUCCUUUUAACAUUCAUUAGUUUUGAAACGUGAUUCAAGCAAUGCAUCAUCAAUAAACUCAUUUGGCUCAGGUAAAGGUCAAGAGACAAAGAUGGUCCCUUACAGAAUAGGCUUCAGUAACAGGGGAUCUCUCAAAAAUGAUUAAGCUUUAGUAGAAUGCUAAAGGUAAGUCCCAAGCUAUGCAUAUAGAGAUAAGAUCCCAUCUACCCAGAGUAUAACCAAUUAAGCUCUAAUGGUAAUCCUAUCUCUAGUCCCACAUUAAGAACUUAACUCUACCCUUUGUAUUCAUGAAUCUUUUAAGCCCUUUUUCUAAUCAUUCUUUUCUUUUCUCUUAACUCUAGGAGAAGCUUUCUCAACACUUUGAUACAUCUAGCGGAUUUGGAUUUCUUUAACAAUUAAGGUUCCUGU